rnacentral:rRNA from 1 species
GUGACUGCGUACCUUUUGUAUAAUGGGUCAGCGACUUAUAUUCUGUAGCAAGGUUAACCGUAUAGGGGAGCCGCAGGGAAACCGAGUCUUAACCGGGCGUUAAGUUGCAGGGUAUAGACCCGAAACCCGGUGAUCUAGCCAUGGGCAGGUUGAAGGUUGGGUAACACUAACUGGAGGACCGAACCGACUAAUGUUGAAAAAUUAGCGGAUGACCUGUGGCUGGGGGUGAAAGGCCAAUCAAACCGGGAGAUAGCUGGUUCUCCCCGAAAGCUAUUUAGGUAGCGCCUCGUGAACUCAUCUCCGGGGGUAGAGCACUGUUUCGGCUAGGGGGCCAUCCCGGCUUACCAACCCGAUGCAAACUGCGAAUACCGGAGAAUGUUAUCACGGGAGACACACGGCGGGUGCUAACGUCCGUCGUGAAGAGGGAAACAACCCAGACCGCCAGCUAAGGUCCCAAAGUCAUGGUUAAGUGGGAAACGAUGUGGGAAGGCCCAGACAGCCAGGAUGUUGGCUUAGAAGCAGCCAUCAUUUAAAGAAAGCGUAAUAGCUCACUGGUCGAGUCGGCCUGCGCGGAAGAUGUAACGGGGCUAAACCAUGCACCGAAGCUGCGGCAGCGACACUAUGUGUUGUUGGGUAGGGGAGCGUUCUGUAAGCCUGUGAAGGUGGCCUGUGAGGGUUGCUGGAGGUAUCAGAAGUGCGAAUGCUGACAUAAGUAACGAUAAAGCGGGUGAAAAGCCCGCUCGCCGGAAGACCAAGGGUUCCUGUCCAACGUUAAUCGGGGCAGGGUGAGUCGACCCCUAAGGCGAGGCCGAAAGGCGUAGUCGAUGGGAAACGGGUUAAUAUUCCCGUACUUGGUGUUACUGCGAAGGGGGGACGGAGAAGGCUAUGUUGGCCGGGCGACGGUUGUCCCGGUUUAAGCGUGUAGGUGUGUGUUCCAGGUAAAUCCGGUUCACUUUAACACUGAGGCGUGAUGACGAGGCACUACGGUGCUGAAGCAACAAAUGCCCUGCUUCCAGGAAAAGCCUCUAAGCAUCAGGUAACAUCAAAUCGUACCCCAAACCGACACAGGUGGUCAGGUAGAGAAUACCAAGGCGCUUGAGAGAACUCGGGUGAAGGAACUAGGCAAAAUGGUGCCGUAACUUCGGGAGAAGGCACGCUGACAUGUAGGUGAAGUGAUUUACUCACGGAGCUGAAGUCAGUCGAAGAUACCAGCUGGCUGCAACUGUUUAUUAAAAACACAGCACUGUGCAAACACGAAAGUGGACGUAUACGGUGUGACGCCUGCCCGGUGCCGGAAGGUUAAUUGAUGGGG